rnacentral:rRNA from 1 species
AUUGAACGCUGGCGGCAGGCCUAACACAUGCAAGUCGAGCGGAGCGGCGGACGGGUGAGUAAUGCCUAGGAAUCUGCCUGGUAGUGGGGGAUAACGUCCGGAAACGGGCGCUAAUACCGCAUACUAUCAGAUGAGCCUAGGUCGGAUUAGCUAGUUGGUGGGGUAAAGGCCUACCAAGGCGACGAUCCGUAACUGGUCUGAGAGGAUGAUCAGUCAAACCUGAACUGGGAAACGGGCCCAGCCCCUAAGGGAGGCCAGCGGGGGGAAUAUUGGACAAUGGGGGGAAGCCUGAUCCCACCCAGCCGGGUGGGUGGAGGAGGUCUUCGGAUUGUAAAGCACUUUAAGUUGGGAGGCGUUACCAACAGAAUAAGCACCGGCUAACUUCGUGCCAGCCGCCGCGGUAAUUC